GCACCAGUAGUGUAGCGGUAUCAUUGUACCCUCUCAAGGUACAGACCCGGGAUCGACUCCCGGUUGGUGCA
rnacentral:tRNA from 1 species